UGCUACUACUAGAUUAACUUUUAGUCAGAAUCCAUUUCAUAGCUUAUUGAGUUCUGCACAAACAAAUCCUCUCAUUAAAACAAAACAAAAAAAUGUAAAAACCCAAUGUUAGUAGUAGGUCAAUCUUUUGUCUGGGACAGCUGAAAAUCAUGCAGUGUGUCUCUGCCUGCAGCUAAGUUUAUACUGUAUGGGCCUCUUUCAUGAAACUUGCUUAAAUACAUGAGUAAAUUCAAAGUAAUUUGCUCGUAAAACAGACGAGCAAAUUCCGAUCACAGACCUUCCUAAGAACUCUCCUCCGGAUUCACAAAUGCUUCAUAAACACCAGAUUUUAUAGUUAAAUAUGUGUAAAAUAAUCAAUUCCGAUCAUUUGAGAAUAAGGUGAGCAUGCACGCUCAUUCACAAUUCGCCUAAUCCCUGCCUUUGAUUUACAAUAAUAUGUCCAGGAACGCUGUGCAAACUUCUGUACUCCCUUCUCAGAUUUGGUUCCAGUAUAUUGCUUAAAGGCCAAUAAGGCUAAUAGGCCAUAUUACAGAACAGAAAAUAUUUAAUAAAUGUGUGUCCACCAAAGCAUUUUAGCCAUCUAAAGCAUUUUAGCCAGCUAGGUGCUCUUCUGAAAAUGACCUGCUGGUGGCUCUUGAAUGCUUUGGUGGCACAGCCUUUUUCCAGCUGAGACACUUUGGUUGUUAUUAUUUCAAAUGUCGACAGCAGUAACGUAUUUCUAGUAUCUUAUUUUGCACACUAACAUGAACACUUUCUGUUGUUGUAGAUUAUCUGGCUGUAUGGUGACAGCAGAAGGUUGUGCUGCUCUGGCAUCAGCUCUGACUUCAAACCCCUCACACCUGAGAGAGCUGGACCUGAGCUACAAUAACCCCGGAUAUUCAGGAGUGAAGCUGCUCAAUACAGUCAAACAUCUGGACAAACUCAAUGUGGAUCAUGGAGGAGAGUUCAGGAUCAGAGCAGGACUUCAAAAAUACGCCUGUGAUCUCACACUGGAUCCAAACACAGCACACACUCGACUCGUUGUGUCUGAGGAGAACAGAAAGGUGACGUGUGUGCUUCAGUCACAGUCAUAUCCUGAUCAUCCGGACAGAUUUGAUGGGUGGUGUCCUCAGGUUCUGUGUUCAGAGACUCUGACUGGACACUGUUACUGGGAAACUGAGAGGAGUGGAGAUGUUUAUAUAUCAGUGUCUUAUAAAGGAAUCAAGAGGAAAGGAGGGAGUGUUGACUGUGGGUUUGGAGAUAAUGAAAACUCCUGGAGUCUGAUCUGCUCUAAUCACAGAAUCAGUGUCUAUCACAAUCGUCAGGAAACUGUCAUACCUGCAGCUCCAGGCUCCUGUAAGAGAGUAGGAGUGUAUCUGGACGAGUCGAGGGGGUCUCUGUCCUUCUACAGCGUCUCUGACACACACACACUCACACACUUACACACAUUCACACACACAUUCACUCAACCACUACACGCUGGAUUUAGACUUUAUACUAACUCUUCAGUGUCUCUGUGUCACAUUAAACACACACACACCUGACUGACUCACACACGCAGACACACACACACACGCAGACACACACACACUCACGCACUUACACACACUCACACACACAUUCACUCAGCCACUACACGCUGGAUUUAGACUUGAUUACAACUCUUCAGUGUUUCUGUGUCACAUUAAACACACACACACCUGACUGACACACACACACACACACACACACACACACACACACACACACACACACACACACACACACUCUUACACACAUUAUUAGUGUCUAAUGGUGUGAAAGUGUGUGUUUUCAUCUGAACUCAGAGAGAAUCUCAGUCUGCAGGAAGCUGAAUAUCAGACACGAGACAGUUUCCUGUUUAAGAGCAUCAGGAUGAAGAUGUUUCUCAGUCAGAGAGACUUUCUGUGUUUCUCUCCUCCAACAGAAACCAGACACAGAUACAGACAAACUCUGAUGUUUGUGUGAAAUCAUGUCAUAUCUACACUAUUGUGUCAUGAUCUCAGGCCGUAUUUCUGGAGAGCGUGAGAUUGUAGUCUUAAAGAAUUCAGAUUCAAAAAACUUCAUCAUCAUCAUCAUCAUCAUUAUUAUUAUUAUUAUUAUUAUUAUUAUUAUUAUUGCUGCUAGAAAAAAAGUGUUUAUGCAACUGGUCUUUAAAUUCUUGUUAAUCAUUUAAUUGUCUGAGUCUUUAAUUAAACUGAGCAUCUUCAUUUUUGGGUCACACUUGCUUCUUGAAAUGUAACUUUUUU